UGGUAGUCCACGCAGUAAACGUUGUACACUAGGUGUAGCGGGUAUUGACCCCUGCUGUGCCGGAGCUAACGCAUUAAGUGUACCGCCUGGGGAGUACGGCCGCAAGGCUAAAACUCAAAGAAAUUGGACGGGGGCCCGCACAAGCGGUGGAGCAUGUGGUUUAAUUCGACGCAACGCGAAGAACCUUACCCAGACUUGACAUCCUGUGAACCCUCGUUAGAGACAAGAGGGUGCCUUCGGGGAGCACAGAGACAGGUGCUGCAUGGCUGUCGUCAGCUCGUGUCGUGAGAUGUUCGGUUAAGUCCGGCAACGAGCGCAACCCUUGGUCUUCAGUUGCCAGCACAUAAUGGGUGGGAACUCUGAAGAGACUGCCCCGGUUAACGGGGAAGUGGGGAUGACGUCAAGUCCUCAUGGCCCUU
rnacentral:rRNA from 1 species